UCUAUCUUCACAGUAACUCCAGGAGUGUUUUCUAAUCUUUAGAUGGAGAAAGGGAGUCCUGGGGCAGCGAAAUGACUCACCCAAAGGCCUAUGGUGGACAAGCAGAACGGUGAUACCAAUGUCACGUGGACAUCUAGUUCUGCCAAGUUACCUCUACGUUUAAUUUUAUGUGACAAGGCAAAUGAAAAGAGUUUAAUUUUUAAAUUCAUUCCAAAAAAUGUUAAGGCAGUCUUACGUUUCACUGGAGAGCCACUGGUGAGAUAGCAUACCAGAUGCAAAGGCCACUUUCAGGAGAUCAAGAGGACAGGAGCAUGACUUAGAGUGAGCGCAGCGCAUUCAGUAAUCCAAGGCUGUGUCAUGGCUUUGGGGACCAGCGCAGGACAGAGGACACCACGCUUCACAGGGACAUGCAAAGCAACAGCAACAGCACAGGGAACAGGAGGGAGAAGAGAAGUUCAGCCCUGUGAUUAUGCUCCACAGAUUCUCUAAACCUGUGCUGUCCAGUGCAGUAACCACACUCACCACAUGUGGCUACUGAGCACUUGAAGAGGGGCUGGUCCAAAUGGAGAUGUGCUCUUCAGUAUAAAAUACACACCAGAUUUCUGACUCAGCAUGGUGAAGAGAAUCUACACUAUUUUACUAAUGUUCAAAUGGAUCAAUGUUAAAAUGAUUAAUAUUUCAGAUAUAUUGUGUUCACUAAAAUAUAGCCUUAAAAUUAA